ACUUCAUUUCUUCUUUUGCUUAAAUUGAAUCAUCUGCCAUUUGCAGCCCCAGAGCCAGAACACAUUUUCUGUGGAACUGUGAAACACUGAUCCAUUUGUGCAGCUUUUUGGAACUUUUUGCGCCCAGUUUGAGGCCAAAUAAAUAAAUAAAUAAAUAAAUAAAUAAAUACGCUAGCGGCCUUGCGGUUCCGGAUCUGUGCUUGUGGCUGUUUUGGUCUCGGAGUCCGACCUUCACGAGAACCGCUCUGACACUGCUCAGUAAUCUCUGACUCAUGUAGUGAGUAUGACUUCCUUAUUACAGCUGUGUGUGUGUGUGUGUGUGGGGGGGGGGGGGGGGGAUCGUUUAUCCAGCUUUCGACAUCGGACACAAACUCAACACUCGAACAAGAGACCGUUGUGUUUAUAUCUGGAUGUGGUUCAGCUGCAGCACAAACAAUCCGGAGAAGAGAGACCACGAUGUACUGCAAGGCUUAUGGAACACAAAUUCCUUCUGCCUUGUGUAAUCUCCCCUGAAGAUCAGUUCGGCUCAGAGCGAGGAGAUCAGGGUGCCGAAAGUUUUGCACUCUGGCACGAGCGCAAGACGUGGUCCGGAAUAAGACCAGCGAUAAGCUAAAAACGACCGGUCACGUUCACCAGCCUCUGUUUAUUCUCUUAAUAAAACUAACAAGAAAAAUAAACAAAACACCUUUUGCAAGCUGACAAUGAGGGCUGUUCGUAUAAACCUGCUGUCAGAGCUGCUGUUACAGAAAUCAUCACCUUCUGACCAAUCGGACUCCAGACCAAGCAGCAAACAGAACGGAAUCAUUCCUUUAAUUGUUAGAGGUCAGGAAUAUUUUUUCAAUUGAAAGAGAUUUUUUUAAAACUAACUAACUAGCUCACACACACACACACACACACACACACGCACACACACACACGCACGCACACUAACUCCUUUUUGUCUGAUAAAAAUAAACUCUUCUGAUAGAAUAGAACUGAUCCAUCGUCAGCCUGUAAUCAGACACAAAACACACCUGACUACAGCGCUGUAGUGUUUACUACACAAACAUAACGUACUGAUACACACACACACACCGAGAGGCACACACUCAGAUCCGCACACAGAGAACCCAACACAGAGAACCGCACAUAAGAACAACACACCAUGAGAACCGCACAUGAUAAGAACAGAACACCAUGAGAACCGCACAUGAUAAUGAGAACCGCACAUGAUAAGAACCAGACACCAUGAGAACCGCACAUGGGGAAGUCGUGGCCUAAUGGUUAGAGAGUCUGACUCCUAACCCUAAGAUUGUGGGUUCGAGUCUCGGGCCGCUAAUACCACGACUGAGGUGCCAUUGAGCAAGGCCCUGACCCCCCCAACUGCUCCCAGGGCGCCGCCGCAUAAAUGUCCAAUGCUCCGGGUGUGUGUUCACGGUGUGUGUGUGUUCACUGCUGUGUGUGUGCACUUUGGAUGGGUUAAAUGCAGAGAACAAAUUCUGAGUAUGGGUCACUGUACUUAGCCGUAUGUCACGUCACUUUCACUGAUAAGAACAGAACACCAUGAGAACUGCUCAAUAGUGCCCCUUUUCCACCGAGGCAGUUUGAGUGCUGGUUCGGAGCCUAAUUUAGAACCAGUUCUUUCUUUUUCGACACCCGAAACACCGGCUCCGAACAAGGAAAAGUGAUUCUUAAAUAGCACCAAAACGUUGCUGGUCUAGAUUUAAGAACCGCUUGAGUCAGGGGCUGUGGGCGGGGCUACUGUGACCAACAAGACAAGAGAGAAUGUCGUUAGUGCCGUUUUUAAAAUCACUAACGUUGCUAAUGACGCUGUAUAACGUCGUAUACAGUGACGUCAGACUCGGCUCUGCGAUGGCUCUCUAACAGGUUCUUAGGAGGCUCGCCAGUGGAACCAACUUCGAACCAGCACCAGGUUCUUUAUGGUGGAAAAGAGGACACAUGAGAAUCGCACACCAUGAGAAAGUCUAGUGCAGGUUUUAAGAAGCUCGCACUCAGCAGACUGGUCAUUAUGUCUUUUAAGAGCUGAGGGUUCGGUACCUUCAUGUUGGGUCUUUCGGUGAUCAGUGAUCCGUCCUUGGCGUAGGAAUACACGGUGAAAUCGUCUGGCAGGAGAAACCUGACAAAACACACAGAGAGAAACCUCAAGCAGGAUCAGGAGUGUGUGGAAAAAGUGCAAUGUGUGGAGUGUGAUGUGUUCGACCGGUAGCGGAGGUGUGUGUCACCUGUGAUCAGCCCCGCCUCCUAAAGUUCAGACUGCACUAGAAAGCAGGAAGUGAUAUGGAGGAUGUAGUGUAGUUAACUGUAGUAUCAACUAGUUACUUAGUAAGACUCUACACCCCCCCCCCCCCCCCCACACACACACACACACACACACACAGUAUACUGAGAGAUACGUAGUCUGAGAGUUAGAGCUGAGUGUGUCCUGGACUUUAGCCGCUGUGUUUCACAUCAGCAGCACUAAUCUGUCUGAUCUGCAGCACUCUGGAAGGAGGGAGUGUGUCACACACUGUGUGUGUGUGUGUUGAAUAUUACCUUCAUACUACACAUCAAUCUUUCUACCGUUCCUUUAUUUCUUUCUGCUUGCUUGCUAUCUAUCUAUCUAUCCAUCCAUCCAUCCAUCCAUCUCCUAGAGCUUUCUUUAUGUCACUCUGUGUGUGUGUGUUUCUUCAGACACACACACACACACAGAAGUUGGUGUUUUUCCUAGAACAGCACGUCCUGGAGUUUUGCGUUCCUCUGUGAAGGACAGCAGCUCUUUAACAGUGAUUACAUGUCUAAUGGAGAUUCCUCAUCAGCUGACUACAAGCUCUCAAAUACAUCAGACCACGGAUAAUGCUGAGAUUGUGGAACAGGGUGCAAGUUCCUGUGAAUUUAGCAGCAGUUAGCUAGAUCUUCUCCUACACUGCUGACUGAGGUGAGAAGGUCAGGAAGUGUGGUUGAGGGGUGACUCUCCGCCCUCAAUACAUAAACAUCCUGUCUGAAACCAUCUUAUCUGAAAAAGCGCAUCUUUAUCACCUACAGAGUUCGGCAAGCAGGAAUAGCAGUUCAUCUAAUCUAAUAACCAACAGUUUUGGGAAGCUCCGCCCCCUUCGGAUGACACAAACAAAGUAUGAUUGGAGUUCUUCAACCCUGAAUAAGAUGCAUCACUAUACAUAUUAUAUUAUUGUAUAUUAUAAAGCAUCUCACUGCAUAUCGUACUGUAUGUAUGUGACAAAUAAAAUUUGAUUUGAUUUUGUCAACCAUCCGCGGUUCGUGACUCCACCACCGAUUUAUUGAGAUAUUACUCAGCCUUCAUGUCAUUUUGCCUGGUUUUUUUUUAAAUGGUUAAUAAUUGUUUUUUUUAACAGUUAUAAAUACUUAAUAAAGCAGAACAAGACAGCGAAGAUCUUUUUAAAGCAAACGUGUACGUUUAAAUGAGGACAAGUUUGUACGCGAGUGAUGGAGAGAGAGAGAGAAUUGUCAUUGUGGAGCCGUAACCCCGUGAACCAACAAGAGAGAGAGUGAGAGAGAGAGAGAGAGAGAGAGAGAGAGAGUGUGUGUGAGAGAACGAGAGAGACAGAAAGAGAGAGUGAGAGAGUGUGAGUGAGUGAGUGAGUGAGUGAGUGAGUGAGUGAG